rnacentral:rRNA from 1 species
GUCGAACGCACGAAGUUGAAGAGCUUGCUCUUUAACCAGUGAGUGGCGGACGGGUGAGUAACACGUGGGUAACCUGCCCAUUAGAGGGGGAUAACAUUCGGAAACGGAUGCUAAUACCGCAUAGUUUCAGGAAUCGCAUGAUUCUUGAAGGAAAGGUGGCUUCGGCUACCACUAAUGGAUGGACCCGCGGCGUAUUAGCUAGUUGGUGAGGUAAUGGCUCACCAAGGCAAUGAUACGUAGCCGACCUGAGAGGGUGAUCGGCCACACUGGGACUGAGACACGGCCCAGACUCCUACGGGAGGCAGCAGUAGGGAAUCUUCCGCAAUGGACGAAAGUCUGACGGAGCAACGCCGCGUGAGUGAAGAAGGUUUUCGGAUCGUAAAACUCUGUUGUUAAAGAAGAACAAGGAUGAGAGUAACUGCUCAUCCCCUGACGGUAUUUAACCAGAAAGCCACGGCUAACUACGUGCCAGCAGCCGCGGUAAUACGUAGGUGGCAAGCGUUGUCCGGAUUUAUUGGGCGUAAAGCGAGCGCAGGCGGUUCUUUAAGUCUGAUGUGAAAGCCCCCGGCUCAACCGGGGAGGGUCAUUGGAAACUGGAGAACUUGAGUGCAGAAGAGGAGAGUGGAAUUCCACGUGUAGCGGUGAAAUGCGU